UGGCAGGAGGAGCGGGACUCGUGGCAGGAGGAGCGGGAUCCGUGGCAGGAGGACUCGUAGUCGUGGCAAGACCCGCGGGAGCACAUCGUGCUGGAGUUCUGGCAAAGCUGUUUGGAGCAAGGGAUUGACGUGGUUUCAAGAACAGAAAUGGCGAAGUUGGUCUUACCCUCCUUAGCUGCAGUGAGAAGUUUCUGGAAGCGAAGGCGAGUGACUGCGGAGGACGGGGCUGAGGGACCUUUUAUCCUCUGCCGAGGUUAUUUGGGGUGUGAGGCACCUCCUCACGAUGACACCUUAAUUAAUUCUGCGCUCAAUCCCGCAGAUGUUUGCACUUCCCCUGAUUUUAGGUGUUCCCUCCUUGACGCACCGGGCCCCGUCCCGGCGGUGAUUCCUACGGCAGGGAUUUUGGAAGGGCAGCUCUCUCCCAUUUCCUGGAGACUGACACUGAUGUGACGGGUGUUAAUUAAGGAUGAGGGACACCUGGGAUUGCAUCAGGCACAGAAAAGUCUCAGAAAUGCUGACUCCUGGGGUUGGUCCCCCGUUGGGGGCAGGUGACAGCUCAGGGUUUUAAUUCCCCUGUUGUUGAGUGCCAAGAGGAAAUGGGAUUACUGCCUGCAAUUCCUGGGGAUGGCACAACGCCGGAAAAUCCGGCGGGAUCUCCUCGGCUCCCUGGGCUGGCAAGAAAUAAAAUGUUCCUGAUUCUUCACGUGUCCCUCAACUUGGCAGAUGACUGGGAUGAUCCCAUCAGGUUGUUCCACGUGAAUCACGGGUUAUUAAAGAGAAAAACAUCUGACCCUGAGCUCUGUAUGAGGUUUGAGGAUAUUAAAUUUUCCCGUUCCUUGGUUUGUCUUUC